CAUUUUCUCCAGCACUUUAUGAAGAUAUGUUCCUUGAGCCGUAGGUAAUAAGUCAAUAUUUCCAUAGAGUAGAUUUCCUCUAUUAUAGCUAUAGCCACUGAUCCUCCCGGGGUUCAUCAGUUUUGAGCCAGUUGCUUGUAAUGGCCUUUUUGGAAGCAAUUAUAAGAAUUUCAAAGAGGUAUUUUCUACAGAUUUCUC